UCCCUUAUUUUGGCAGCAGCUGCUGCCCCCAAGUGAAACAGCUGCCACAUUCUCCUUCUCGAAGACGCAUCCCAGAAUGGGCUGUCUCUUCUGAGAGGACAACGCAGCCUCCAAUUUGGCAGAGCUAAAGAGAGAGAGUUAAACCAACAGAAGGCUCUUUAUCUCUCUUUUUGAAAUUAUGGCAGAGGUAAGACAAAAGCACAAACAGCCCUAGCAUCUCAGGGUGCCCGAUUUCUUUGGGUUGAAAUAAAGCUUCAUGUGACAAUAGUGCA
rnacentral:lncRNA from 1 species